rnacentral:rRNA from 1 species
GCCCUAUGGGUUGUAAACGGCUUUUGAUUGGGAAGAACAGGUGGGAUUUGUCCUGCUUUGACGGUACCAUUUGAAUAAGCACCGGCUAACUCCGUGCCAGCAGCCGCGGUAAUACGGAGGGUGCAAGCGUUGUCCGGAAUCAUUGGGUGUAAAGGGUGCGUAGGCUGGUAUCUAAGUCUGGGGUGAAAUCUUGCCGCUUAACGGUAAAAUUGCCUUGGAUACUGGAUAUCUUGAAUCUGACAGAGGUCGGUGGAAUUCGUGGUGUAGCGGUGAAAUGCAUAGAUAUCACGAAGAACAUCAGUGGCGAAGGCGGCCGGCUGGGUCAGUAUUGACGCUAAGGCACGAGAGCGUGGGGAGCGAACAGGAUUAGAUACCCUGGUAGUCCACGCCGUAAACGAUGUAUACUAGUUGUUGGGCCUUCGGGCUCAGUGACGCAAUUAACGCAGUAAGUAUACCACCUGGGGAGUACGUUCGCAAGAAUGAAACUCAUAGGAAUUGACGG